UACGUAGGGUGCGAGCGUUGUCCGGAAUUAUUGGGCGUAAAGAGCUCGUAGGCGGUCUGUCGCGUCGAUCGUGAAAACUUGGGGCUUAACCCUGAGCUUGCGGUCGAUACGGGCAUGACUGGAGUUCGGCAGGGGAGACUGGAAUUCCUGGUGUAGCGGUGAAAUGCGCAGAUAUCAGGAGGAACACCGGUGGCGAAGGCAGGUCUCUGGGACGUUACUGACGCUGAGACGCGAAAGCGUGGGGAGCAAACAGG
rnacentral:rRNA from 1 species